AAAACUUAAUACAAAUAACAUAUAUACAUCGACCAAAAAAAAAAGAAAAAGAAGAGAAGAAGAAGCUUUUGAACUCAGAAUUAGAUUUGCAAGAAAAAUAUUAUUAGGGAGUUAGAGUUCAAAUUUCCAAGAAAGAAAAGGACAAAUCACGUUUUGCUGGCAACAUAUAUGUUGCAUCAGGAAUUGUGCUAUGCAUUUACUGAUAGAUUUCAUGUUCUAAGUUCUCUUCCCAUUCUUUUAAUGCCCUGCUUUUGAUGAUUGCACUUUUUAAUGACUAAAGGGUUAAAAUAUUUUCAUCAUAUGGAUAUAUUUAUCGCGAUAUUUAGGAUAGCACUAGAGGAUAUGGAGCAAUUACAUGGAUAUGAUUUCAAGAAAUAUUUCUAUUCAGUUACGUGAUCUAUGUAGCUAAUGACAUUGAAAAAUGCAACCCCAACCUUAAUUAUGACAGAUUAUGAGAGGAACAAAUGAUACGCUUGAGGUUCAUAGGACAUAUUUACGGCUGAAAUCUUGGCACAUGAUGGUCAUAUGUAAUCUUUCUUUUUCAAUUGGUUAUGUUUACCGACAAUCUCACCUUUGUAAAGACUGUGCACAAGUAUUUAUA